AACGAACGCUGGCGGCGUGCCUAACACAUGCAAGUCGUGCGAGAAAGUUCCUUCGGGAGCGAGUAAAGCGGCGCACGGGUGAGUAACACGUAGGUAACCUGCCCCCCAGUCUGGAACAACUAGAGGAAACUCUAGCUAAUGCCGGAUGAGACCACGAUCCCUUCGGGGGUUGCGGCCAAAGAUGGCCUCUACUUGUAAGCUAUCGCUGAGGGAUGGGCCUGCGGGCCAUUAGCUUGUUGGUGAGGUAACGGCUCACCAAGGCUGUGAUGGCUAGCUGGUCUGAGAGGAUGACCAGCCACACUGGGACUGAGACACGGCCCAGACUCCUACGGGAGGCAGCAGUGGGGAAUAUUUGCGCAAAUGGGGACGAAAGCCUGACGCAGCGACG
rnacentral:rRNA from 1 species